GUCUCUGAUUGGCCAACAGAGUUUCACUGGCGCUGCUCUCGUGGAGAACAAACGCGGAGAGGGAAGUGCCGCAAAAGCCAACUCGGGCGAGCCUGGGAUGUUCGGAAUUUCGAGUACAAAGGAGAAGCAGGCUGCCGGUUGGGGGGGCGAAGCUAGCUCGGAUAAAUGAUGGACCUGAAUUUCUGCCUCCUCCGGGCCAUCACAGAGAAUUGAUUAGAAAAUGUAACACCCAAUUAAGGACUAUGAAAAUUUAAGAAAUUAUGAAACCAGGUUCCUCAGGAAAAAAAAGGAGCAGAAAAAAAGCAGCAGAAAUGACUUGCAACCUUCCCUCCUGGGAAUGAUAAUGUGGCCAUCAGAUGCUGUUGUAAGUGUGAACUGGUUGCCAAAUGCCCAAAUCACAGUCACAUGAUCUGGCAGGGGGGAUGUUGCUGUGAUGCUCAGAAUUUCAAGGACUGGUUGAAAAAGCUAUCAGCACACUUCCUCACCAAUAACAGUGAAAGUGACUCUGGCACUGAUUCCACUGAGAGUUCCAUACCAGCAGUAUUCAAAGAAUCCAGACAACUUCAAGUAGCUGAUGCCAAAAGAAUCUGUCUUGGAAGCAAAAUAAACUCCAGACAAGCAGUAUCUUCACAGAAAGGAUCCUAUGUGAAACUUCAGAAAGGCUGAUAUGUGAAACUUCAGAAGACAAAUACGGUGUGAACAACAGUGGAAGAUGUAACAAACACAAUUAUCAAGCAAUAUCCCCUUUAUUUUCCAGGCUCUGGGUUAUUUGAAACUCCUCCCCAAAUUUCCAUUUCCCCUAAGGCAAAUGUACUUACUGAUGCUCAAUUUGGAAGUUGAGGUGCCCUGUAAACCAGUCGUUGAAUAAAGACUGGUUUACAUUGCAUGUUGCCUGGAGCUGAAAAGGGAAGAAAGAGAGGAAUAAGCCAACUCUAAGAAUGAGUUAAUUUUAUUUCAGGCUGGACAUUUCCAUGCUCACAGCUGUCUCAAUCUGUACUCUAAACAAGAAGAGAGUUUUAUACUUUGGAUCAAAAUAAAAACAGCGUGAGAACUCCA